rnacentral:rRNA from 1 species
GACGAACGCUNGCGGCGUGCCUAAUACAUGCAAGUAGAACGCUGAAGAGAGGAGCUUGCUCUUCUUGGAUGAGUUGCGAACGGGUGAGUAACGCGUAGGUAACCUGCCUGGUAGCGGGGGAUAACUAUUGGAAACGAUAGCUAAUACCGCAUAAAAUGGAUUAUCGCAUGAUAAUCCAUUGAAAGGUGCAAAUGCAUCACUACCAGAUGGACCUGCGUUGUAUUAGCUAGUUGGUGGGGUAACGGCUCACCAAGGCGACGAUACAUAGCCGACCUGAGAGGGUGAUCGGCCACACUGGGACUGAGACACGGCCCAGACUCCUACGGGAGGCAGCAGUAGGGAAUCUUCGGCAAUGGACGGAAGUCUGACCGAGCAACGCCGCGUGAGUGAAGAAGGUUUUCGGAUCGUAAAGCUCUGUUGUAAGAGAAGAACGAGUGUGAGAGUGGAAAGUUCACACUGUGACGGUAUCUUACCAGAAAGGGACGGCUAACUACGUGCCAGCAGCCGCGGUAAUACGUAGGUCCCGAGCGUUGUCCGGAUUUAUUGGGCGUAAAGCGAGCGCAGGCGGUUAGAUAAGUCUGAAGUUAAAGGCUGUGGCUUAACCAUAGUACGCUUUGGAAACUGUUUAACUUGAGUGCAAGAGGGGAGAGUGGAAUUCCAUGUGUAGCGGUGAAAUGCGUAGAUAUAUGGAGGAACACCGGUGGCGAAAGCGGCUCUCUGGCUUGUAACUGACGCUGAGGCUCGAAAGCGUGGGGAGCAAACAGG